rnacentral:lncRNA from 1 species
GUUGAAGUCAAAGUUGUGUUAAUUUGGACUAAAUAAAGGAUUUCUAUUUCCAAAAAAAUGGUGAUUAAACUUGGCUUAAGCUAAUUCUCAGCUCUGAACUGAAGCGACUAGAAGACUGAAUGGUUUGAGGAGGAAUUCUUCUACUGCAGUGGUAUAUCUGCUAGAGGCUGAGCCAGAAGUACAGGAACUCAAAGUGUUGCUACGUAGUAACUAGAGACCUAAAAUGCCAUCAUGUGGAAACGAUCCAUUUGCUUUAGGUUCAACAGUGAAGAUGGGGGAAUGUUGACUGAGAAGCCAAAGAAACCCACCUUCCAGAGCCUUUCUUUGGUUUUGACAAGUAAACAAUGUACCUUCUUGCAAUUAUCACCGUUCAUUUUUAACUCUGAAAAGUGACCUCGAGGAGGUUGGUGUCUUCACAGCCACAGCUCAGAAUUAAUCAGGCUGCUUGACUCAAAUCUCAGCUUCACCACUUGCUCACUGUAGAACUUGGCCAAGGUUCUCACCUUCUCUGCACCAUGGUUUGCUGGACAAUUGAAUCAGGACAUGGAUGAUUAUGAUAAAAUCUAAAUGUUAUCAUCAGCAACCAGCACAGAGAAAACACUCAGUAAAAAUUAGCUCAUAAUAUCUGCUCUAGUAGGAGGGGCUUGUGAUGUUUUUCUAAUAAAGAAAUAUUCUUUUAAUGUGAUAAUGAAAUAUUCCACAGUAUGGAAUUAUUAGCUCAUUUCCAUCUACUCUAAGGACAAAUGUAGGUGAUAUCUCACAGAGUGAAGUAAGUUAUGG